ACAAAGAAGAUGGAGUUGUGAUUUCUCAGUUCCGAAUGGCGGCCAUAUUGGAAUUUUCUUUACUGUCGCUAGUUUCACACUACUUGAUUUCUCAUGUUGCAGUAAGCUAAACAAUUUCAUCUCUUACGUGACUUGUUGUUCUUGCACGUAACUGUGUAACCGUCAGACUGAUAAAGAAGUUGGUGAAUGUCUUUACGUUUAGAAACGUAAAUCAAGCAAACUCAUCCAAGCAGAUGCGAAUAGCCUGUCAGUACUCAAACCACCAGUAGCAGGCUUAGGACUAGAGUUUGCCAGUCAGACCACUACACCUUUGCCAGCACCACCACCCUGCAAGCUUCAUCAACUCCAGCCAUGCCGAGUUUACCAGUCAGACCUACACCUCUGUCAAAUUCGCUCACAACGCUGCCAGUAACACCCCAGCAAGGUAGAACUGCAUUUUCAUUAAUCUGGCACCAAUAUCAAGGGAGAAACAAGCCAUGAAUGUCUGUCACAACUUCUUUGCAUCUUUACUUUCCUUACAUCUGAAGAGUGUGUUGCAUAUUUAUAUCAUUAUUAAAAAUA